rnacentral:rRNA from 1 species
AUUGAACGCUGGCGGCAGGCUUAACACAUGCAAGUCGAGCGGGGUGAUGGUGCUUGCACUAUCACUUAGCGGCGGACGGGUGAGUAAUGCUUAGGAAUCUGCCUAUUAGUGGGGGACAACAUUUCGAAAGGAAUGCUAAUACCGCAUACGUCCUACGGGAGAAAGCAGGGGAUCUUCGGACCUUGCGCUAAUAGAUGAGCCUAAGUCGGAUUAGCUAGUUGGUGGGGUAAAGGCCUACCAAGGCGACGAUCUGUAGCGGGUCUGAGAGGAUGAUCCGCCACACUGGGACUGAGACACGGCCCAGACUCCUACGGGAGGCAGCAGUGGGGAAUAUUGGACAAUGGGCGCAAGCCUGAUCCAGCCAUGCCGCGUGUGUGAAGAAGGCCUUAUGGUUGUAAAGCACUUUAAGCGAGGAGGAGGCUACUUUGGUUAAUACCUAGAGAUAGUGGACGUUACUCGCAGAAUAAGCACCGGCUAACUCUGUGCCAGCCGCCGCCGUAACAC